UACGUAGGGGGCAAGCGUUGUCCGGAAUCAUUGGGCGUAAAGCGCGUGUAGGCGGCCCGAUAAGUCCGCUGUGAAAGUCCAGGGCUCAACCCUGGGAUGCCGGUGGAUACUGUCGGGCUCGAGUCCGGAAGAGGCGAGUGGAAUUCCUGGUGUAGCGGUGAAAUGCGCAGAUAUCAGGAGGAACACCAAUAGCGAAGGCAGCUCGCUGGGACGGUACUGACGCUAAGGCGCGAAAGCGUGGGGAGCGAACAGG
rnacentral:rRNA from 1 species